GUGCCAGCAGCCGCGGUAAGACGAACCGAGCGAACGUUGUUCGGAAUCACUGGGCUUAAAGGGCGCGUAGGCGGGCUGUCAAGUCUGGGGUGAAAUCCCGCGGCUCAACCGUGGAACUGCCUCAGAUACUGACGGCCUCGAGGGGGGUAGGGGCGAGCGGAACGGAUGGUGGAGCGGUGAAAUGCGUUGAUAUCAUCCGGAACUCCGGUGGCGAAGGCGGCUCGCUGGACCUCUUCUGACGCUGAGGCGCGAAAGCUAGGGGAGCAAACGGGAUUAGAUACCCCGGUAGUCC
rnacentral:rRNA from 1 species